UUACCAAAAGGUAAUUUGGUUGGAGAGAGGUUGUUAAAAUAACCUUUACCAGCUUGGUCUAUUUGGGAGAAUAAAGAAAUAUUCUCUCCACAGUGGCCUGUACAACUUAGUAUAAUUUACUACUACUUUAUGGCCUAUAUU
ensembl:snoRNA